rnacentral:rRNA from 1 species
UCCACGCCGUAAACGAUGGAUACUAGCUGUUGGGGGCAACUUCAGUGGCUAAGCGAAAGUGAUAAGUAUCCCACCUGGGGAGUACGUUCGCAAGAAUGAAACUCAAAGGAAUUGACGGGGGCCCGCACAAGCGGUGGAGCAUGUGGUUUAAUUCGAUGAUACGCGAGGAACCUUACCAAGGCUUAAAUGUAGAUUGACAGGUUUGGAAACAGACUUUUCU